rnacentral:rRNA from 1 species
CACAUGACUCUCGGCAACGGAUAUCUCGGCUCUCGCAUCGAUGAAGAACGUAGCAAAAUGCGAUACCUGGUGUGAAUUGCAGAAUCCCGUGAACCAUCGAGUUUUUGAACGCAAGUUGCGCCCGAGGCCUUCUGGUCGAGGGCACGCCUGCCUGGGCGU